rnacentral:rRNA from 1 species
UACGUAGGGUGCAAGCGUUGUCCGGAAUUAUUGGGCGUAAAGAGCUCGUAGGCGGUCUGUCGCGUCUGCUGUGAAAAUCCAGGGCUCAACCCUGGACCUGCAGUGGGUACGGGCAGACUAGAGUGCGGUAGGGGAGAUCGGAAUUCCUGGUGUAGCGGUGAAAUGCGCAGAUAUCAGGAGGAACACCGGUGGCGAAGGCGGCCUGCUGGGCAGUUGCUGACACUGAGGCGCGACAGCGUGGGGAGCAAACAGG